rnacentral:ncRNA from 1 species
GAAAUCCACUAGGGGAGCCGCAUAGGCGGCUGAGACAAGAAUUCUUGGACCCUUUGAACCUGAUCCGGGUAAUACCGGCGGAGGGAAGUGGAGCCGGCCGGUU